rnacentral:rRNA from 1 species
CCUACGGGUGGCUGCAGUGGGGAAUUUUGGACAAUGGGCGCAAGCCUGAUCCAGCCAUGCCGCGUGCGGGAAGAAGGCCUUCGGGUUGUAAACCGCUUUUGUCAGGGAAGAAACGGUCUAAACUAAUACUUUGGACUAAUGACGGUACCUGAAGAAUAAGCACCGGCUAACUACGUGCCAGCAGCCGCGGUAAUACGUAGGGUGCAAGCGUUAAUCGGAAUUACUGGGCGUAAAGCGUGCGCAGGCGGUUGUGCAAGACAGAUGUGAAAUCCCCG